UUAGUGAUACUUUCUCAUAUCGCCUGAAGUUUAAUUGGGGAUAUAGAAUCCCAGUUAUAAAGGAGCACUCUGAAUACACAGAACACUGUUGGGCCAUGCAUGGUGAAAUUUUUUGUUACUUGGCAAAGUACUGGCUAAAAGGGUUUGUAGCUUUUCAAGCUGCAAUUAAUGCUGCAAUUAUAGAAGUCACAACAAAUCAUUCUGUAAUGGAGGAGUUGACAUCAGUUAUUGGAAUAAAUAUGAAGAUACCACCUUUCAUUUCUAAGGGAGAAAUUAUGAAUGAAUGGUUUCAUUUUACUUGCUUAGUUUCUUUCUCUUCUUUUAUAUACUUUGCAUCAUUAAAUGUUGCAAGGGAAAGAGGAAAAUUUAAGAAACUGAUGACAGUGAUGGGUCUCCGAGAGUCAGCAUUCUGAGGCAGUAAAAUGUGAGGUUAUGAAUAACGAGUGAAGCCAGAUGGCAUGGAUAAGGGUCUCAUCUCUGUUGCCUACCAGCUGGUGACACUGGAUUACACACCUGGAUAAUUACUUAAGUGGUGUUAUUUUUCCUGAUCCCUCUGGGGAUUCAUACAAAAUGAUAGCCACUUU
rnacentral:lncRNA from 10 species